GCCACAUCUAGUUCAUCUAGAGAAAACUCGGACAGGUGAAGACGUUUAAGAGAGUUAAGAGCAAAAGGGAGCAUUUUUGGUACUUCACCUGCAAAGAACCGGACACUAAAAUAAUCCAAGUGGAGAUGCUUGAGAGCAGGAAAAGACUCGAGCAACUUGGCGAUACCACAUUUUCCCGCCUUCCCAGAAUAUCCAGUAUCCACAAGUGAAAGCUUCUCAAGAAGAGGGACACCUUCUAAAGAAAGAAAGAUUAGCUUGCCAGUGAAGUCAAAGGAUUUCAACUUGGGAGCUCUAAUUUGAAUGUGAUUUGUGAUAGUUGAAUGCAGCACCAAAUGCUCG
rnacentral:misc_RNA from 1 species